UUGAACGCUGGCGGCAUGCUUUACACAUGCAAGUCGAACGGCAGCGCGGGCUUCGGCCUGGCGGCGAGUGGCGAACGGGUGAGUAAUGCAUCGGAACGUGCCCAGUAGUGGGGGAUAGCCCGGCGAAAGCCGGAUUAAUACCGCAUACGACCUGAGGGUGAAAGCGGGGGACCGAAAGGCCUCGCGCUAUUGGAGCGGCCGAUGUCGGAUUAGCUAGUUGGUGGGGUAAAGGCUUACCAAGGCGACGAUCCGUAGCUGGUCUGAGAGGACGACCAGCCACACUGGGACUGAGACACGGCCCAGACUCCUACGGGAGGCAGCAGUGGGGAAUUUUGGACAAUGGGGGCAACCCUGAUCCAGCCAUGCCGCGUGCGGGAAGAAGGCCUUCGGGUUGUAAACCGCUUUUGUUCGGGAAGAAAUCCUCUGGGCUAAUACCUCGGGGGGAUGACGGUACCGGAAGAAUAAGCACCGGCUAACUACGUG
rnacentral:rRNA from 1 species